rnacentral:rRNA from 1 species
AGUCGAGGGGUAGAGUUCUUCGGAAUUUGAGACCGGCGCACGGGUGCGUAACGCGUAUGCAAUCUACCUUUUACAGAGGGAUAGCCCAGAGAAAUUUGGAUUAAUACCUCAUAGUAUAUAGCCCUGGCAUCAGGAUUAUAUUAAAGUCACAACGGUAAAAGAUGAGCAUGCGUCCCAUUAGCUAGUUGGUAAGGUAACGGCUUACCAAGGCUACGAUGGGUAGGGGUCCUGAGAGGGAGAUCCCCCACACUGGUACUGAGACACGGACCAGACCCCUACGGGAGGCAGCAGUGAGGAAUAUUGGACAAUGGGCGCAAGCCUGAUCCAGCCAUGCCGCGUGCAGGAUGACGGUCCUAUGGAUUGUAAACUGCUUUUAUACGAGAAGAAACACUCCGACGUGUCGGAGCUUGACGGUAUCGUAAGAAUAAGGAUCGGCUGACUCCGUGCCAGCAGCCGCGGUAAUACGGAGGAUCCAAGCGUUAUCCGGAAUCAUUGGGUUUAAAGGGUCCGUAGGCGGUUUAAUAAGUCAGUGGUGAAAGCCCAUCGCUCAACGGUGGAACGGCCAUUGAUACUGUUAAACUUGAAUUAUUAGGAAGUAACUAGAAUAUGUAGUGUAGCGGUGAAAUGCUUAGAGAUUACAUGGAAUACCAAUUGCGAAGGCAGGUUACUACUAAUGGAUUGACGCUGAUGGACGAAAGCGUGGGUAGCGAGCAGGAUUAGAUACCCUGGUAGUCCACGCCGUANACGAUGGAUACUAGCUGUUGGAAGCAAUUUCAGUGGCUAAGCGAAAGUGAUAAGUAUCCCACCUGGGGAGUACGUUCGCAAGAAUGAAACUCAAAGGAAUUGACGGGGGCCCGCACAAGCGGUGGAGCAUGUGGUUUAAUUCGAUGAUACGCGAGGAACCUUUACAAGGCUUAAAUGU